AGAGUGAACGCUGGCGGUAGGCCUAACACAUGCAAGUCGAACGGCAGCACAGUGGUAGCAAUACCAUGGGUGGCGAGUGGCGGACGGGUGAGGAAUACAUCGGAAUCUACCUUUUCGUGGGGGAUAACGUAGGGAAACUUACGCUAAUACCGCAUACGCCCUUUGGGGGAAAGCCGGGGAUCGCAAGACCUGGCGCGGAUAGAUGAGCCGAUGUCGGAUUAGCUAGUUGGUGAGGUAAUGGCUCACCGAAGGCGACGAUCCGUAGCGUGGUCUGAGAGGAUGACUCACGCCAACACGUGGAACUGAAGACGACGGUCCAGACCGUCCGUACGGGA
rnacentral:rRNA from 1 species